CGGGUUAGUAAUACAUAGGAAUUUUCCUCGAAGUCGUGAAUAAUCCGGAGAAAUCCGGAAUAAUACACGAUGUGCUCUACGGAGUAAAGAUUUAUCGCUUUGAGAGAAGCCUAUGUCCUAUCAGCUUGUUGGUGGCGUAAAGGACCACCAAGGCUAUGACGGGUAGGGGAUGUGAGAGCACGGCCCCCAACAUUGGGACUGAGACACUGCCCAAACUCCUACGGGAGGCUGCAGUCGAGAAUAUUCGUCAAUGCGCGAAAGCGUGAACGAGCGACGCCGCGUGCGGGAUGAAGGCCUUCGGGUUGUAAACCGCUUUUGUAAGGGAAGAAUUUCGAUGACGGUACCUUACGAAUAAGAGGUUACUAACUCUGUG
rnacentral:rRNA from 1 species